rnacentral:rRNA from 1 species
UAGGGAAUCUUCGGCAAUGGACGAAAGUCUGACCGAGCAACGCCGCGUGAGUGAAGAAGGUUUUCGGAUCGUAAAACUCUGUUGUUAGAGAAGAACAAGGACGUUAGUAACUGAACGUCCCCUGACGGUAUCUAACCAGAAAGCCACGGCUAACUACGUGCCAGCAGCCGCGGUAAUACGUAGGUGGCAAGCGUUGUCCGGAUUUAUUGGGCGUAAAGCGAGCGCAGGCGGUUUCUUAAGUCUGAUGUGAAAGCCCCCGGCUCAACCGGGGAGGGUCAUUGGAAACUGGGGGACUUGAGUGCAGAAGAGGAGAGUGGAAUUCCAUGUGUAGCGGUGAAAUGCGUAGAUAUAUGGAGGAACACCAGUGGCGAAGGCGGCUCUCUGGUCUGUAACUGACGCUGAGGCACGAAAGCGUGGGGAGCAAACAGG